rnacentral:rRNA from 1 species
GACGAACGCUGGCGGCGUGCUUAACACAUGCAAGUCGAGCGGAAAGGCCACUUCGGUGGUACUCGAGCGGCGAACGGGUGAGUAACACGUGAGUAAUCUGCCCCUGGCUUUGGGAUAGCCACCGGAAACGGUGAUUAAUACCGGAUACGACCACUUCUCGCAUGGGAUGGUGGUGGAAAGUUUUUUCGGCCAGGGAUGUGCUCGCGGCCUAUCAGCUUGAUGGUGAGGUAAUGGCUCACCAUGGCCUCGACGGGUAGACGGCCUGAGAGGGUGACCGGUCACACUGGGACUGGGACACUGCGCAGACUCCUACGGGAGGCAGCAGUGGGGAAUAUUGGACAAUGGGCGGAAGCCUGAUCCAGCAACGCCGCGUGAGGGAUGACGGCCUUCGGGUUGUAAACCUCUUUCAGCAGGGACGAAGCGCAAGUGACGGUACCUGCAGAAGAAGCACCGGCCAACUACGUGCCAGCAGCCGCCGUAA